UACAGAGGGGGCAAGCGUUGUUCGGAAUUACUGGGCGUAAAGGGCGCGUAGGCGGCCUUCUAAGUCGAACGUGAAAUCCCCGGGCUCAACCCGGGAACUGCGUCCGAUACUGGAAGGCUUGAAUCCGGGAGAGGGAUGCGGAAUUCCAGGUGUAGUGGUGGAAUGCGUAGAUAUCGGGAGGAACACCAGUGGCGAAGGCGGUUGCCUGGGGCUUUGCUGACGCUGAUGCGCGAAAGCGUGGGGAGCGAUCCGG
rnacentral:rRNA from 1 species